rnacentral:lncRNA from 1 species
GUCAGACUUAUCUCAUGUUCCACAGAUUGCUGACCUCUGUUUUAUCUCUUUAAAUUUUCACAGUAAGCUGCAUGAGAUAAUUACGUUGUCCCAUGUUGCAGAUGAGUGUUGCAGAGCCUUAAUAUUUAUCUGAAUCUCCGGCCAUCAGGCAAUACUCUCCAGGGAAAGAAUCCCCUUGCUGAACUUUGCAAAACCUAGAAGAGAUACAAAAAGAGAUCCGUCUUUCACAUAUGCAGGAUGGUGCACAAUAUACCUUGGGUAAGAGAAAAAUCCUAUUAAAAAAAGAAGAAAGAAAAAAACGUUAUUGACCUGAAAUCCUACCUAAUUUAAACUGCUUGUGCAGUCUGACAAGUGAGCAUCCGAAAGAGCAAAUGUUAAAGCCAUUUUGAGUGCAAAUCACAGGAUUCCAGCCAGUGCCUGGUGGCUUCUCCACUCCUGAGGAGGGGCUAUGAGGUAAGAGGUGAGAUCUGCUUCAUAGUGGUCUCCAUCAACCUGGACCUGCCCCUCAGGCUGUGCACUGACGGGACUGCACUGCUAAAUGGCCCUUUGCUAAGUGUGCAGAGGAAGGAGUACCAGGAAGCAGCAGUGAAAUGAACUGGA